rnacentral:rRNA from 1 species
UACGAAGGGGCUAGCGUUGCUCGGAAUCACUGGGCGUAAAGGGUGCGUAGGCGGGUCUUUAAGUCAGGGGUGAAAUCCUGGAGCUCAACUCCAGAACUGCCUUUGAUACUGAAGAUCUUGAGUUCGGGAGAGGUGAGUGGAACUGCGAGUGUAGAGGUGAAAUUCGUAGAUAUUCGCAAGAACACCAGUGGCGAAGGCGGCUCACUGGCCCGAUACUGACGCUGAGGCACGAAAGCGUGGGGAGCAACAGGG